GAUGAACGCUGGCGGCGUGCCUAAUACAUGCAAGUCGAGCGAAAAGACGAGGAGCUUGCUCCUCUGACGUUAGCGGCGGACGGGUGAGUAACACGUGGAUAACCUACCUAUAAGACUGGGAUAACUUCGGGAAACCGGAGAUAAUACCGGAUAAUAUAUUGAACCGCAUGGUUCAAUAGUGAAAGACGGUUUUGCUGUCACUUAUAGAUGGAUCCGCGCCGCAUUAGCUAGUUGGUAAGGUAACGGCUUACCAAGGCAACGAUGCGUAGCCGACCUGAGAGGGUGAUCGGCCACACUGGAACUGAGACACGGUCCAGACUCCUACGGGAGGCAGCAGUAGGGAAUCUUCCGCAAUGGGCGAAAGCCUGACGGAGCAACGCCGCGUGAGUGAUGAAGGUCUUCGGAUCGUAAAACUCUGUUAUUAGGGAAGAACAAAUGUGUAAGUAACUAUGCACGUCUUGACGGUACCUAAUCAGAAAGCCACGGCUAACUACGUG
rnacentral:rRNA from 1 species